ACUAAAUAGGCAAAACUAGAGAAAUCUAGUGACGCAAAGCUAUAGGGGCUAAAGUUUGUAUAUACGAACUAUGCUAGCCAGUUGCCAA
rnacentral:ncRNA from 1 species